UUGACCUCAAAUCAGG
rnacentral:rRNA from 66 species